rnacentral:lncRNA from 1 species
AGUUAUUUUCUUGUCUUUGUGUCAUUAGAGAAAGAUCAGCCUCAGAUGUGUUCAGCUCUAUGUCUGUUAAGAGUGACCGGUCAAAAGGUGACGGACCGAACUUCAGUGAAAAAAGACCAUCAUCUACCAAAAGACAAAGAUCAGGCUCAGAUGUUUUCAGCUCUGUAUCUCUGAAGAGUGACCAAUCAAAAGGUGAUGGACCAAACUUAAGUGAGGAAAAAGCACUUUUUAUGAAAAGCAACAAAGGACAGAAGUCCACAGUAAAUAUUGGUGCAGAAUUUACACGGUGGGAAACUCUAAAGGCACAGAAGAGAAUGCAGAGUGAUGUGGAACUGGCAACUUUUCUUCUCAACAGGUGGGAACACAAAAAUAUAUUUUAGAUACCAUAA